rnacentral:rRNA from 1 species
AUUGAACGCUGGCGGCAGGCCUAACACAUGCAAGUCGAACGAGUGGCGGACGGGUGAGUAAUGUCUGGGAAACCGCCUGAUGGAGGGGGAUAACUACUGGACACGGUAGCUAAUACCGCAUACCAUCGGAUGUGCCCAGAGGGGCUUAGCUUGUAGGUGGGGUAACGGCUCACCUAGGCGACGAUCCCUAGCUGGGCUAGGAGGAUGACCAGCAACACUGGAACUGAGACACGGUCCAGACACCUGCGGGAGGGAGCAGUGGGGAAUAUUGCACAAGGGGCGCGAGCCUGAUGCAGCCAUGCCGAGUGUGUGAAGAAGGCCUUCGGGUUGUAAAGCACUUUCAGCGAGGAGGCGUUACGCGCAGAAGAAGCACCGGCUAACUCCGUGCCAGCCGCCGCGGUAAUAC